rnacentral:rRNA from 1 species
UUACCUGGUCUUGACAUCCACAGAACUUGCCAGAGAUGGCUUGGUGCCUUCGGGAACUGUGAGACAGGUGCUGCAUGGCUGUCGUCAGCUCGUGUUGUGAAAUGUUGGGUUAAGUCCCGCAACGAGCGCAACCCUUAUCCUUUGUUGCCAGCGGUCCGGCCGGGAACUCAAAGGAGACUGCCAGUGAUAAACUGGAGGAAGGUGGGGAUGACGUCAAGUCAUCAUGGCCCUUACGACCAGGGCUACACACGUGCUACAAUGGCGCAUACAAAGAGAAGCGACCUCGCGAGAGCAAGCGGACCUCAUAAAGUGCCUCUAGUCCGGAUUGGAGUCUGCAACUCGACUCCAUGAAGUCGGAAUCGCUAGUAAUCGGAAUUCA